GGUUAAGCGACUAAGCGUACACGGUGGAUGCCCUGGCAGUCAGAGGCGAUGAAGGACGUGCUAAUCUGCGAAAAGCGUCGGUAAGGUGAUAUGAACCGUUAUAACCGGCGAUGUCCGAAUGGGGAAACCCAGUGUGAUUCGUCACACUAUCGUUAACUGAAUACAUAGGUUAACGAGGCGAACCGGGGGAACUGAAACAUCUAAGUACCCCGAGGAAAAGAAAUCAACCGAGAUUCCCCCAGUAGCGGCGAGCGAACGGGGAGCAGCCCAGAGUCUGAAUCAGCUUGUGUGUUAGUGGAACGGUCUGGAAAGUCCGACGGUACAGGGUGAUAGUCCCGUACACCAAAAUGCACAGGUUGUGAACUCGAAGAGUAGGGCGGGACACGUGGUAUCCUGUCUGAAUAUGGGGGGACCAUCCUCCAAGGCUAAAUAUUCCUGACUGACCGAUAGUGAACCAGUACCGUGAGGGAAAGGCGAAAAGAACCCCGGCGAGGGGAGUGAAAAAGAACCUGAAACCGUGUACGUACAAGCAGUGGGAGCACCUUCGGGUGUGACUGCGUACCUUUUGUAUAAUGGGUCAGCGACUUAUAUUCUGUAGCAAGGUUAACCGUAUAGGGGAGCCGCAGGGAAACCGAGUCUUAACUGGGCGUUAAGUUGCAGGGUAUAGACCCGAAACCCGGUGAUCUAGCCAUGGGCAGGUUGAAGGUUGGGUAACACUAACUGGAGGACCGAACCGACUAAUGUUGAAAAAUUAGCGGAUGACUUGUGGCUGGGGGUGAAAGGCCAAUCAAACCGGGAGAUAGCUGGUUCUCCCCGAAAGCUAUUUAGGUAGCGCCUCGUGAACUCAUCUUCGGGGGUAGAGCACUGUUUCGGCUAGGGGGUCAUCCCGACUUACCAACCCGAUGCAAACUACGAAUACCGAAGAAUGUUAUCACGGGAGACACACGGCGGGUGCUAACGUCCGUCGUGAAGAGGGAAACAACCCAGACCGCCAGCUAAGGUCCCAAAGUCAUGGUUAAGUGGGAAACGAUGUGGGAAGGCACAGACAGCCAGGAUGUUGGCUUAGAAGCAGCCAUCAUUUAAAGAAAGCGUAAUAGCUCACUGGUCGAGUCGGCCUGCGCGGAAGAUGUAACGGGGCUAAACCAUGCACCGAAGCUGCGGCAGCGACACUAUGUGUUGUUGGGUAGGGGAGCGUUCUGUAAGCCUGCGAAGGUGUGCUGUGAGGCAUGCUGGAGGUAUCAGAAGUGCGAAUGCUGACAUAAGUAACGAUAAAGCGGGUGAAAAGCCCGCUCGCCGGAAGACCAAGGGUUCCUGUCCAACGUUAAUCGGGGCAGGGUGAGUCGACCCCUAAGGCGAGGCCGAAAGGCGUAGUCGAUGGGAAACAGGUUAAUAUUCCUGUACUUGGUGUUACUGCGAAGGGGGGACGGAGAAGGCUAUGUUAGCCGGGCGACGGUUGUCCCGGUUUAAGCAUGUAGGCUGGUUGUCCAGGCAAAUCCGGAUAAUCAAGGCUGAGGUGUGAUGACGAGGCACUACGGUGCUGAAGUAACAAAUGCCCUGCUUCCAGGAAAAGCCUCUAAGCAUCAGGUAACAUUAAAUCGUACCCCAAACCGACACAGGUGGUCAGGUAGAGAAUACCAAGGCGCUUGAGAGAACUCGGGUGAAGGAACUAGGCAAAAUGGUGCCGUAACUUCGGGAGAAGGCACGCUGGUGUGUAGGUGAAGCCCCUGCGGGUGGAGCUGAGACCAGUCGAAGAUACCAGCUGGCUGCAACUGUUUAUUAAAAACACAGCACUGUGCAAACACGAAAGUGGACGUAUACGGUGUGACGCCUGCCCGGUGCCGGAAGGUUAAUUGAUGGGGUUAUCCGUAAGGAGAAGCUCUUGAUCGAAGCCCCGGUAAACGGCGGCCGUAACUAUAACGGUCCUAAGGUAGCGAAAUUCCUUGUCGGGUAAGUUCCGACCUGCACGAAUGGCGUAAUGAUGGCCAGGCUGUCUCCACCCGAGACUCAGUGAAAUUGAACUCGCUGUGAAGAUGCAGUGUACCCGCGGCAAGACGGAAAGACCCCGUGAACCUUUACUAUAGCUUGACACUGAACAUUGAGCCUUGAUGUGUAGGAUAGGUGGGAGGCUUUGAAGCGUGGACGCCAGUCUGCGUGGAGCCAACCUUGAAAUACCACCCUUUAAUGUUUGAUGUUCUAACGUUGGCCCCUGACCGGGGUUGCGGACAGUGUCUGGUGGGUAGUUUGACUGGGGCGGUCUCCUCCCAAAGCGUAACGGAGGAGCACGAAGGUUAGCUAAUCCUGGUCGGACAUCAGGAGGUUAGUGCAAUGGCAUAAGCUAGCUUGACUGCGAGCGUGACGGCGCGAGCAGGUGCGAAAGCAGGUCAUAGUGAUCCGGUGGUUCUGAAUGGAAGGGCCAUCGCUCAACGGAUAAAAGGUACUCCGGGGAUAACAGGCUGAUACCGCCCAAGAGUUCAUAUCGACGGCGGUGUUUGGCACCUCGAUGUCGGCUCAUCACAUCCUGGGGCUGAAGUAGGUCCCAAGGGUAUGGCUGUUCGCCAUUUAAAGUGGUACGCGAGCUGGGUUUAGAACGUCGUGAGACAGUUCGGUCCCUAUCUGCCGUGGGCGCUGGAGAAUUGAGGGGGGCUGCUCCUAGUACGAGAGGACCGGAGUGGACGCAUCACUGGUGUUCGGGUUGUCAUGCCAAUGGCACUGCCCGGUAGCUAAAUGCGGAAGAGAUAAGUGCUGAAAGCAUCUAAGCACGAAACUUGCCCCGAGAUGAGUUCUCCCUGAGACUUUAAGUCUCCUGAAGGAACGUUAAAGACGAUGACGUUGAUAGGCCGGGUGUGUAAGCGCAGCGAUGCGUUGAGCUAACCGGUACUAAUGAACCGUGAGGCUUAACCUU
rnacentral:rRNA from 1 species